UGCUUAAGCGAUUGUGUAGUGUGUUGUGUGUACUUGUAGUUGUAGUAUACUGUUCAGUUCAAUUCGGAAAAUUGGCAACGCUACAGCUCCAAUCUCUCGCCUAAUCACAAUCUGCUUUUCUUUUGCUGGUGGAUGAAGUGUAUUUCGUCUGUUUAGACGUAGUCUAUGAUUUAGAAUUGAAGUUUGAAUUUCUUAUUGAAUUUGAAAAUUUAACAAGUUCCGACUUGUCGCUGUGUUUAUGUUCAACUUUUAAUUACCACUCAUGGGAAGUUGAGAACCAAUUUCAACCCCAAAAUGACGUUUAGGUUAUAUUAAUGGAGCAUGGAAAUUCCCAUUUUUCACACAAUUCCCUAGAUAUUUUGUAUUACCAAAGCUUCAGCUACAAACAUCAGGUUUACAGCCCAAAUUGUAGACAAAUGCAAAAGGUUAAUCCUGCUGCGCCGCUAUUCAAUGACGGAAUCCAUUGGUGGAACCUGACGACUGACUGAGGUUUUGUCAAUCAGCAAUACUACUCGCUUGCGUGCCGUGCCGUCCUUUCGUCGCUCCGAGGCAUGGGAGAGUUGAGCCUUUACUAUCCUGCCAGCAUCAUUCGACUACCCAGCCGACUUGUACUACCAGCUCUCAACACAGCGCAGAGUUUUCACCCUUAGAUUGUUUCGCUGUUUAGAUGGCGUUUUCUUUUUCUUGAGGAAAACGAGAUACUGAUUUUGUUGAGGAGAAUAUGUUGUGAGUAUCGAGUAUUUUUUUUUGUCUUUUUUUGGUUUGUUAUUGUUAUUUCAAUUCACUAAUUCAGUGUCGGAUGAGCUUAGAACAGUGAUAAUACUCAAGCAGUAGGUAGCCAUUAACUAUAGUUUAUUGCGUUAAUGAUGGAAUAUUUAUUGGAAUAUUUCCUUUAGUUUCAACAUGACUGUUUGAUGAUAAAGUUAGUUGGAACUCUAACUCAAACACCGAUAACCGUUGCUGCUGCUGCCUUACAGCCACAGGCAGGAAAAUUAUUGUUUUCUUCAGAAAAUUGGAAAGCUGCUGGAGUAAUCUGGUGUUUAUGCUCAUUUGAUUCAUUUCGUGCCAGCUAGUGAAUGCCGAAAGGCAUGUCGAAUUCAAGUUGAGCUGCUGCUUGCUGUCUCGAAUCUUGCUGUCUGGAAUCCAGCAAUCCAGCCAGGCAGCCAUUGCGUUCAGUCAUUUGAACAGGAAUCUGAUGGCUGUCAAUAGGUGGCUGUCAAAAGUUGGCUGGAAUGUCCACCAGGUAGCGCUAGUGUCUUCAGGGACGCAUUUCGGCCAUUUUGUUCCAAGACGUAGCAGAAAUGGGUUGCUGGUCGUGACGUUUCUCACGAUGAAAAUUGAAAGCAUGUGGAAACCACUUUGCCAAGUCAUUCAACUCAGACUUGGAAGUGCCUGUACAUUGCCGAAAUGGCGUGCCUCGUGUGUCUCGCUGUCUCUUCUUAGGCGUACGUCUCAUCCCAUGCAACAGAAAAAAGUGUAACAAAUACUUCUUUAACGCUGUGGGUUUCCUUGUUGCUGCCAAAUGGUGAAAGGAAGAAGAGUACGAAGACGGAUUGAACCAUUGUAUGCAGCAUGCGGUUGCAGUGUAAUCCAGAAGUAGCUGUGAUGGUGUUAUCCUGAAAUUGCUGUGCCUGUUGUAGCUGAGCUGUUCCAUCUGGGUUCCUGACUUGAAAAUUUUUGUGUUGUUGUUUG